AUUCAAUCAUCAAAGUAAAACAAAUUUAUUGCUAGUCAUCACCAUGUCAUCUUUUCGAUAUUUUAGUUCUUUAAAUGUUCACUAUCUUGUCAAAUUUCAAAUACAAGAUCGGAGACUUACAAUCACAUAAUUAUAUAAUAACCAUAUCAUAAUUUAUAUUGACUAAUAUAUCUCUAGGAAUGGUUAGCGAAUUAUUGUUAGGUUUUCA